rnacentral:piRNA from 1 species
UCUGGUUGUAUAACAGGCGGUGGCACC